GGGGCGGCCGCGCGUGGAUGCGGCGGGAGCCGGAAGCCUCGAGCAGCCGGCGCCGUCUCUGCCCCUGGGCGCCCUAUGGCUUGAAGAGAAUGGAAGAGAAAGAGGAGAAGGAAAGAGAAGAAAGGGUGGCAGAGCAGGCUGAGAAUUGCUCAAAAGCUGAUAUAUCACAUCCUAAAGGAACUGGGUUCCAGCACUCUGAAGAGACUGGA